GCAGAGGCAGUAACAGAGACUGACUGGCAGAGGUAGGGGCCGAGGCAGUGACUGACUGGCAGAGGCAGUAACAGAGACUGACUGGCAGAGGUAGGGGCCGAGGCAGUGACUGACUGGCAGAGGCAGUAACAGAGACUGACUGGCAGAGGUAGGGGCCGAGGCAGUGACUGACUGGCAGAGGCAGUAACAGAGACUGACUGGCAGAGGUAGGGGCCGAGGCAGUGACUGACUGGCAGAGGCAGUAACAGAGACUGACUGGCAGAGGUAGGGGCCGAGGCAGUGACUGACUGGCAGAGGCAGUAACAGAGACUGACUGGCAGAGGUAGGGGCCGAGGCAGUGACUGACUGGCAGAGGCAGUAACAGAGACUGACUGGCAGAGGUAGGGGCCGAGGCAGUGACUGACUGGCAGAGGCAGUAACAGAGACUGACUGGCAGAGGUAGGGGCCGAGGCAGUGACUGACUGGCAGAGGCAGUAACAGAGACUGACUGGCAGAGGUAGGGGCCGAGGCAGUGACUGACUGGCAGAGGCAGUAACAGAGACUGACUGGCAGAGGUAGGGGCCGAGGCAGUGACUGACUGGCAGAGGCAGUAACAGAGACUGACUGGCAGAGGUAGGGGCCGAGGCAGUGACUGACUGGCAGAGGCAGUAACAGAGACUGACUGGCAGAGGUAGGGGCCGAGGCAGUGACUGACUGGCAGAGGCAGUAACAGAGACUGACUGGCAGAGGUAGGGGCCGAGGCAGU